UCCCUGGUGGUCCAGUGGCUAAGACUCUGCACUCCCAAUGCACGGGACACGGGUUCAAUCCCUGGUUGGGGAA
rnacentral:tRNA from 1 species